UACAUACGUAUAGGCGCAGGUGGCCGCAUAGUCGGCAUACAUCGACAUACCCCUAUCGGCAAACAAAUUGAUUUUACAAUUUACUCCCACGCGUCAACAAUAGGUUAGACCAUUCGAAUGUAAGUAAGAGACGGCGAGAGGAAAUGUAAAUCUAGUCCUUCAGUAUAGCAGUAUGUGCGCACACGCAGAGACUAGAGAGCAAAUUCGAUCCCAUCGACUUGGCCGCAAGCAGAUUGAAUGAGAGGCAAGUUCUGAACAUUAUCCACUCUUUUUAUUCCGUUUCUCGUGGCGCGCGACAAUAGCCGGGCUUAUCGCUGCCCCAGUUGUAAACUCCAGUCGUGAGAGCAAGAGACGAAUAAACGUCAGAACGCUGAGCGGGUAACCUUUUCAUUAAUGUUGCGAUUCACGUCGAGCUGCAGCCAGGGUAUAUAGAGAGGCAGUCACAGGAACAAUCGACGCGGUCGGAUAAUGGAUUUUCCCGCUAGCUGCUGCAGCUGAGAGGAUUUUCACACUUGAGGCAGUAAAAUUUGAGAAAUACAAGAAUGUUUAGGGAUACACAAAAAAUUAUUAUUGAGGAUGCGGCAGCUCCUUCUGCAGCCUUUGCUGCAAAUAUUCAGAUGGAAGAUUUGUUGGAAAAAUUAAAAAUACUCAAUUAUGACAUUGAAUUUGUGCAGGAAUUAAAAAUGAAGUAUAUAAGCAGGCAUUAUUUUAUGGUUCCAACAAAUCCUGGAGAUCAAUUUUACAUGUUUACAUCAUUAGCUGCAUGGUUGAUAAGAAAAUCAGGAAAAAAUUUUCCCCCACCGCAAGAAUCAGAUGAUCCAAACUCAACAGUAUCAGAAAUAUUAGAAUACUUGAAAGAGAUUGAGGUUCCUGUAGAAUUUUCUCCAAAUAAAUUAAAGCAAGGGGUUGGCGAACAUGCUGUGUAUGUACUCGAUAAAUUUGCAGACUAUGCUCUUAAGGUUUCAAAAUUCAAAUGGAAGAAAGUUCAAAUUCCACCAGAUGAGACAGUACUUGAACCAGAAAUAGAGGAAGAUGAUGCUGAAUUAAUUUUAGAAAAAGUUGAAGAAGAAAUGUUAGCCGAGUAUGAUGACGAUGACGAUGAUGUUAUUCACGUUGAUGAUAUUACAAAAUUGUACAAAGAAGUUUCAAGCAGUAGUCAAAAACCAGAUAAAAUCUUGGAAUCUACUGUCGAUGCUGAGGAAUGGAAAUUGGAGUUAGAACGUGUGGAGCCAAUGUUGAAACUUAACACUAAUGCAGAUGAUCGAGAUUGGAGAGAACAUCUAAAUCAAAUGAAAACCUUGCAUUCAAGUAUGACAGAAAACCUUUCUGGGACAAAAGGUCAACUGGCUAAACUAUACACCGACAUUGGAAGAGCACUAGAUAAAAUAAGUACAAGAGAGAUUCACUUGAACCGUCAGUUGGACCCUCAACUUCAAGAAUUAAGAGGUCUUCAGGAAGAACUUUCUAAGGUCAAAGAACAGUACAGAGAUAUCAGUGGAGGAGUCACAGAGAGAACUAGAACUUUAAAUAAACUUACAGAAGAAUUAGAACAAGUCAAAAAGGAAAUGGAUGAAAGAGGUUCAAGUAUGACAGAUGGAACGCCACUGAUAAACAUUAAGAAGACUAUUUCCAAGAUGAAAAGUGAAAUUUCCGAAAUGAGCAUAAGAAUAGGCGUUUUGGAGUACAGCCUGAUGUGCUCAAGAGUUCGAGACAGCGCCCAAUUACAAGAAGACAUGAACAGCACGACCAGUACCGUCUCGAUUUAAUAAGUAACUAGUGCAAUUGUUUGUUGGGAGUGUGUUAAAUUUGUGCUUUUCUAAGCCUCAAGUUCUAGUCAAUACUUGUACACACGAUUAAGUAUUUUCAUAUCGAGAUGAUUCGCUAGCUGCGGCCUCGCUCAGAUAAAUCGCAGUAUUAUUCAUUAGACAAAGUGAAUCAUAGUCCAUGAUUUUUGCAUCGAAUCCAUAUCGCGAGAUAUUUCAUCGAGGCACAAGUCAGAGGUCGAAGAUAUAUUGAUAAAAAAAAAAAAUAGCCGUUCGUUACGGACCCUGUAAAUACAGCUGUCUAUAAGCCUUUGAAAUAGGCUUGGUCCACAAGCUUAAAUAAAAAAAAAACGACUCUGCACUGAAAAAACAACUCUCUCAAAGGAUGCUCGGCUUUAUACAACGCGUUAAUUAUGCUCCUUUUCCACCUGCAGCUUUUGAAACGUACAAGAGCGUUUGCUCCCUGCAGCUCCGGGCGGGGUCGCCUAAAAUACUCGCUUGGCAUUAUUUUUUGCGUCGCCCGCAGCUGCAGCCCGUCGAACUUGAACUCUGCAUGCAGAGAGCGUGUCGUUUAUAAAAACUCGCUGAAUAUUUAAUAGUUUGCGUAAUGAAAACAACGUCUUAAGAAAUAAGUAAUGUGUAGCGGACGUUCGAGCGUUAUGUAUACAUGUAACAGACGUAUACACGCGCACAGCAAAAUGUCGAAACCAGUUUUAUAAUGCUGCGCCCGCCAAAUCCGGAGAAAAAGAAGCGAAUCUUCGUCAUAUAGGUAUAGUGCGUACGUAUAAACUGUCGAUGUCCCCUUCCAGGCGUCCAAGUAGUUUACAACGCCUGCGAGAGAGGAAAGAACGCGCUGAACGGCGAAUAGCGCGCCAAUUGUAGCUCGAGAGAACAGUCUGUGCCCGCAUACGCUGGCUUUCGCCAAUAAUUCUGACGCUCGUUCGAUCGAGCAUUCCUCGAUCAUCCUUGCCUGCUCUUAACGUACGUUGAAUGUUUUUCUUUUGUUUUUAAGUAGUUUAAACGUUGAGGAUUUGGCAAUAGCCGGUGUAGCUUUAGUUUACGAAUAGUUGUGCGAUCGAGGUGCAGAAUAUAACGGAAAUUUUUUACGGUGUUGAUAGAAGACGCUCAGCAGUUCUCUCGCCGACAAUCGUUCUAUUUAUAGCGAGUUUUAUCUGGUACCAAGUGCGCAAAACACGAUAAGAAUUUUAGAAAAUAAAGAAUUGGUCACAAGCAUUUAUACUGUGCAUAUUAGGCGCAAUAUAAUGUAACAACUGAAAAAUGAGUUUCAUUGCACGUAAUACGCAGCGAAACCGGAAAAAGAUACAAAAUUGUCAAUAAGUGUACCUUAUCGCAAACUAAGUGCAAUACUGUGUAUAGUUAAUUAGGAUGGAACCAGUCUUCGACAAUUUCUAACCACCAGUUUAUAUGAGCGUUGAAAAAUGCAAAAGAGAAAAGUGUCUAUGCAUCAAUAAAAUUAUUAAAAAACUUAA